UUUUUUUUUUUAAGUAGCUGCUGAACACAUGAGAAUCUGCCUUUUUCUUGAAUUGUGUUUUUUUUUUUUUCCAAGACAGAGUCUUGCAGUUGUCGCCCAGGCUGGAGUGCUGUGGUGUGAUCUUGGCUCACUGCAACCUCCGCCUCCCGGAUUCAAGCGAUUGUCCUGCCUCAGCCUCCUGAGUAGCUGGGAUUGCAGGCACGUACCACCAUGCCCGGCUUAUUUUUGUAUUUUUAGUAGAAACAGGGUUUCACCAUGUUGGCCAGGCUGGUCUCAAACUCCCGACCUUGUGAUCCACCUGCCUCGGCCUCCUAAAGUGCUGGGUUUACAGGCGUGAACCACUGCGCCCAGCCUGAAUCAUGGUUUUUUGAAACCAUUGGCAUCUGAACCUGUAGCUCUCUCUGGUAGUGUUGUGUGGUUUUAAAUGUCAUGUGAGCUGAGUUACUGACCUCAACCUACUGCCAGCUGAAAGUGUGAUCCUGUGAUACCAAUCUUGAGGGUCCCUGCUAGUUUUAGCAGUCAGUGACUUCUCUCGUUUAUUUUUGUUUGAAAAAGAAAAAGGCUCUCUUUUUGGCUAUAGAGUUGCAUCUUGAAAUUUUUGACAAAUUACAUAGAGCUGAAGAAGGAUACAAGUUUUGAUAUCUUAAAAUCACAGGAUUGAGGCUUGAAAGGACAGUAUUGGCAUUGCAGCUAAGUGGGAGCGUGAGGAAGCGCCUUCUCUAGGGCGGGUAAUUGCAUCUGUUAAUGUGGCCCUUGGGCCCCUGAGUUGCUACCUUCCAAUCAGAAUUUCCUUAGCAUUAGCAAGUGAUGCCUGAAUGAAUCUCAGGUAGGACUUCUAACUUUUUUCCAAAAUUAUUUUUGUGCAGAGGUUUCUCUAGGAGAUUUUUCUUCUAAAUGUCCUCCUCCCCACUUGUUUUAUUGUUACUAUUUUUCUCUCUUUUUAAUUUUUUUUAAAAAUAAAGACAUGGUCUCACUAUGUUGCCCAGGCUGAUCUCAGACUCCUGGGCUCAAGUGAUCCUCCUGCCUCAGCCUCCCAAAGUGCUGGGAUUAUAGGCGUGAGCCAUUGCGCCUGGCCCUGUUACUGUUUUUCUAACCUGAGUUACUUAGGAUCCUAUUUUCAUUCUUUUUUAAAAAGAUGGGAGUUUUCUGAACUUGUCCUUAACUAAAAAGUGGAAUGCAUCUUAAUAUUUUCCUUUUUUUUACUCAUGUUUCUCCCCAGGGAGGGAAAAACAUAUUUAUUGUGACAGAAUUUAGCAUAUUUUAGGCCACAUUAAAAUACUGAUAAAUGUAUUAAUCAGUGAAAAUAGGUUAUAGUGAAAAAUAUAUACCAUUUGAUUAAUAAAUAUGUUAUUGGAAAAAUGCAAGAACUGCUGUAAGAAUUGCUAACAUUGUGUUGGAAAAUGAAUAUACUAAGCUAAGAAACAAUGGGAAACUCAUAUUUAGGGCCAACAACCUUUUUUUUUUUUCUUUUAAAAAACCCUUCUAAUUUAUUAAUAUCUAGUCUAAUAAACCCUGAUUUAUAGGACCUCUGCACCUUUUUUGACUUUUUAUUCAUCCAUUCUUAAUAUUCUACACUAUGACAAAAUCCUUUGUCUCCAUUAUUGGUGAAAUGGGAACAGACUUUUGUUUUUGUAUGUUGGUGUUCUCUGAGUGGUGAGGGCCCAGGGAGAAUGUUUUGUUUGGUGGUCACUUAGCAUUUGAAAACAUCCACUUCCUUGUGACUUAGCUGGGUAUCUUUUAACAUCCGGAAGCCAUGUCCCUGAUUGAAAUCUGUGGAGACAACUUACCUUUCACCAGCUUGUCUGCUGAAUUGCACCAUGGACCAAGAUUGCAGUGCCUGCAUCAAGUCUAGGCCUGCCCUGAAGUCUGGAUUUGUAAGUCCCCCAUUUCAAAUGGGGCAGAAGGCAGAGGAGCAGAGGAGCCACUGUGCCUUUUGCUGUCCUGGAGCCAGUUGGCCUUUUGGUUUCGGUGAACCCCACUUUAUAAGAGGACUCCCUGGCAUCUUCCAGUUUCCCGCUACUUGUUUUAUGUAUUAUUUUAUGUCUGUGUUUGUCUUGGCUGUUUGUGCUGUAGCUCCUUUCACUGUCUGCUGUAAGUUCAACUUCUUCAAUAAAAGAAAUGUUUCAAAUUGGA
rnacentral:lncRNA from 1 species